rnacentral:miRNA from 1 species
UGAACAGCGCCUUUCUGUGUAG